UCUUGGACAGGGUGUGUUCCUGUUUUCUGUCUCACACCUGUCUUUCCUGUCUUCACAUCGUUCUCUGCUGUCUCUGUUCUCUUCCUCUUUUCCACCCUUUUCUGCGCCUCAGGCUGGGGUUCGGGUCUUUCAGGAGGAGCAUCCAUCCAUUUCCUCUUCAAAGGACUCUCUUUGCUUACACUUCUGGUGACAGAGCAGGAUGCCUCUACACAGGUGUCUCUGUUUCUGUUGCUCUCCUCAUGCUGCAGGUUCUGCUUGUGGUCAGUGUUUUUCUUGCUCUGAUACAGCUGAUAAAUGUAAUCAGGUGUGUUACAACAAAGAAAGCAACAAGCAUCCUCUGUCUGGGAAUCACGACAUCAGAAAUAAAAAAAAUUAUAGAAUUUUUUCCUCCUGUUGUAAUGUGUUAAAUUGUUUUGCUUUUGAAUUUCAAAUGCUGAGCCUUUAUUAUAUGCAAUCUUUAUAUAAAUAUGAACUUUAUUGAGGUCAAUUCUUGUUCCUCAUCUGGCUGAAAAUGUUAGUUUGAUCCAAAUCUAACCUCACAAUCCUUUUAACCCUUAUGUUCUGUUUUAAGACAUGCAUUGUUUGUUUCCCUCCUGAUAUUUUAUGAAUUUUCCUAAACUACAUAACAUCUUUUCAGAAAAGUGUUUUUUUAAUUAAUGAUAAUGUUUCUGAUGUUCCGCUAUGACAUGACUACACACGUGAUGUUUGGGGUCAGUAAUAAAUGUUACUGAGAGCAAA